UCAUAAUCGUUUCUCAUUUUACUAACCUAUUAGUAUCCAUUGGGAUUCAUAGGGAUGUCCCCGCUACACGUGAACCCUUUCUCUUAAUAAUCUCAAUUACAGGGUUAUCCCCAUACCCCGUCAAAUAUGAGCGCCAAGACAUUAAACCUUAAUACUGCAUCCGGUAUAAGGGUGAAGUGGGUCGUUCCCAUACCUCGUCCAGUGUGGGCACUAAAUUAUCAAGUCUCCAUACCCCGUCCAAUAUGAGACAACGUUCACGGUAGGGU
rnacentral:lncRNA from 1 species